rnacentral:rRNA from 1 species
AGGAAUAUUGGUCAAUGGGCGAGAGCCUGAACCAGCCAAGUAGCGUGCAGGAUGACGGCCCUAUGGGUUGUAAACUGCUUUUAUAAGGGAAUAAAGUGAGAGUCGUGACUCUUUUUGCAUGUACCUUAUGAAUAAGGACCGGCUAAUUCCGUGCCAGCAGCCGCGGUAAUACGGAAGGUCCGGGCGUUAUCCGGAUUUAUUGGGUUUAAAGGGAGCGUAGGCCGGAGAUUAAGCGUGUUGUGAAAUGUAGACGCUCAACGUCUGCACUGCAGCGCGAACUGGUUUCCUUGAGUACGCACAAAGUGGGCGGAAUUCGUGGUGUAGCGGUGAAAUGCUUAGAUAUCACGAAGAACUCCGAUUGCGAAGGCAGCUCACUGGAGCGCAACUGACGCUGAAGCUCGAAAGUGCGGGUAUCGAACAGGAUUAGAUACCCUGGUAGUCCGCACGGUAAACGAUGGAUGCCCGCUGUUGGUCUGAACAGGUCAGCGGCCAAGCGAAAGCAUUAAGCAUCCCACCUGGGGAGUACGCCGGCAACGGUGAAACUCAAAGGAAUUGACGGGGGCCCGCACAAGCGGAGGAACAUGUGGUUUAAUUCGAUGAUACGCGAGGAACCUUACCCGGGCUUGAAUUGCAGAGGAAGGAUUUGGAGACAAUGACGCCCUUCGGGGCCUCUGUGAAGGUGCUGCAUGGUUGUCGUCAGCUCGUGCCGUGAGGUGUCGGCUUAAGUGCCAUAACGAGCGCAACCCCUCUCCUUAGUUGCCAUCAGGUUAAGCUGGGCACUCUGGGGACACUGCCACCGUAAGGUGUGAGGAAGGUGGGGAUGACGUCAAAUCAGCACGGCCCUUACGUCCGGGGCUACACACGUGUUACAAUGGCAGGUACAGAGAGACGGUCCCUUGCAAAAUGGAUCAAAUCCUUAAAGCCUGUCUCAGUUCGGACUGGGGUCUGCAACCCGACCCCACGAAGCUGGAUUCGCUAGUAAUCGCGCAUCAGCCAUGGCGCGGUGAAUACGUUCCCG